rnacentral:rRNA from 1 species
GACGAACGCUGGCGGCGUGCUUAACACAUGCAAGUCGAACGUGAUUUUUGUGGAAAUUCUUUCGGGAAUGGAAAUGAAAUGAAAGUGGCGAACGGGUGAGUAACACGUGAGCAACCUACCUUACACAGGGGGAUAGCCGUUGGAAACGACGAUUAAUACCGCAUGAGACCACAGAAUCGCAUGAUAUAGGGGUCAAAGAUUUAUCGGUGUAAGAAGGGCUCGCGUCUGAUUAGCUAGUUGGAAGGGUAAAGGCCUACCAAGGCGACGAUCAGUAGCCGGUCUGAGAGGACGAACGGCCACAUUGGAACUGAGACACGGUCCAAACUCCUACGGGAGGCAGCAGUGGGGAAUAUUGCACAAUGGGGGGAACCCUGAUGCAGCGACGCCGCGUGAGCGAAGAAGGUUUUCGAAUCGUAAAGCUCUGUCCUAUGAGAAGAUAAUGACGGUAUCAUAGGAGGAAGCCCCGGCUAAAUACGUG